GGGAUAACACUGACGCUCAUGUACGAAAGCGUGGGUAGCAAACAGGAUUAGAUACCCUGGUAGUCCACGCCCUAAACGAUGUCAACUGGCUGUUGGGGGAGUGAAAUCCCUUAGUAACGAAGCUAACGCGUGAAGUUGACCGCCUGGGGAGUACGGUCGCAAGAUUAAAACUCAAAGGAAUUGACGGGGACCCGCACAAGCGGUGGAUGAUGUGGAUUAAUUCGAUGCAACGCGAAAAACCUUACCUACCCUUGACAUGUCCGGAAUCCUGAAGAGAUUUGGGAGUGCUCGAAAGAGAACCGGAACACAGGUGCUGCAUGGCUGUCGUCAGCUCGUGUCGUGAGAUGUUGGGUUAAGUCCCGCAACGAGCGCAACCCUUAUCAUUAGUUGCUACGCAAGGGCACUCUAAUGAGACUGCCGGUGACAAACCGGAGGAAGGUGGGGAUGACGUCAAGUCCUCAUGGCCCUUAUGGGUAGGGCUCCACACGUCAUACAAUGGUCGGUACAGAGGGUUGCCAAGCCGCGAGGUGGAGCCAAUCCCAGAAAGCCGAUCGUAGUCCGGAUUGUUCUCUGCAACUCGAGAGCAUGAAGUCGGAAUCGCUAGUAAUCGCGGAUCAGCAUGUCGCGGUGAAUACGUUCCCGGGUCUUGUACACACCGCCCGUCACACCAUGGGAGUGGAAUCUGGCAGAAGUAGGUAGCCUAACCGCAAGGAGGGCGCUUACCACGCUGGGUUUCAUGACUGGGGUGAAGUCGUAACAAGGUAACCGUA
rnacentral:rRNA from 1 species